CCUACGGGAGGCAGCAGUAGGGAAUUUCCACAAUGGACGCAAGUCUGAUGGAGCAACGCCGCGUGAGUGAAGAAGGGUUUCGGCUCGUAAAACUCUGUUGUUGAAGAAGAACGUGCGUGAGAGUAACUGUUCACGCAGUGACGGUAUUCAACCAGAAAGUCACGGCUAACUACGUGCCAGCAGCCGCGGUAAU
rnacentral:rRNA from 1 species